GUGUGAUUCGUCACACUAUCAUUAACUGAAUCCAUAGGUUAAUGAGGCGAACCGGGGGAACUGAAACAUCUAAGUACCCCGAGGAAAAGAAAUCAACCGAGAUUCCCCCAGUAGCGGCGAGCGAACGGGGAGCAGCCCAGAGCCUGAAUCAGUGUGUGUGUUAGUGGAAGCGUCUGGAAAGGCGCGCGAUACAGGGUGACAGCCCCGUACACAAAAAUGCACAUGCUGUGAGCUCGAUGAGUAGGGCGGGACACGUGGUAUCCUGUCUGAAUAUGGGGGGACCAUCCUCCAAGGCUAAAUACUCCUGACUGACCGAUAGUGAACCAGUACCGUGAGGGAAAGGCGAAAAGAACCCCGGCGAGGGGAGUGAAAAAGAACCUGAAACCGU
rnacentral:rRNA from 1 species